GAGUGAUCGAAAGAUGAAAAGCACUUUGAAAAGAGAGUUAAACAGCACGUGAAAUUGUUGAAAGGGAAGCGCUUGCGACCAGACUCGCCCACGGGGUUCAGCCGGCUUUCGGGCCGGUGUACUUCCCCGGGGGCGGGCCAGCGUCGGUUUGGGCGGCCGGUCAAAGGCCCCCGGAAUGUAACGCCCUCUCGGGGGCGUCUUAUAGCCGGGGGUGUCAUGCGGCCAGCCUGGACCGAGGAACGCGCUUCGGCACGGACGCUGGCAUAAUGGUCGCAAACGACCC
rnacentral:rRNA from 1 species